rnacentral:rRNA from 1 species
AUACGAAGGGGGCUAGCGUUGUUCGGAAUCACUGGGCGUAAAGCGCGCGUAGGUGGAUCAAUUAGUUGAGGGUGAAAUUCCGGGGCUCAACCUCGGAACUGCCUUCAAUACUGUUGAUCUUGAGACCGAGAGAGGUGAGUGGAAUUCCUAGUGUAGAGGUGAAAUUCGUAGAUAUUAGGAAGAACACCAGUGGCGAAGGCGGCUCACUGGCUCGGUACUGACGCUGAGGUGCGAAAGCGUGGGGAGCAAACAGGAUUAGAAACCCUUGUAGUCC